CAUGGGCUUGUGCAUCUUUCUGCAACAUUAAAUAGCUAUUCAACUUGCUAUUUGUAUCAAGAUUAGAGCAAUUUAAUUGGAAAAAGAGAAAACCUAGGGAAUCUGACAGGCAGUUAAUAGCCCAUGAAAAAGCCGUAUCCAAACUGUACUUUGAAGGCAUCAGAAAGUCCUGCUUUUGAAUGAUUUCCUUCCCAUUGCAACUCCCAAAUCCGGUCCAGCAAGAGGCCUGACGUUGAGUGGCUCCUCAAGCAUUCAGAUGUGUCUGAGCAAACACAAGAGGCAAUCAAAUUACCUGAACACCGGCCACUUCAGAGUGCUCACUUGAGAUGACAGUUUCAGCUUCAAAAGAGAUGGAGGCACUGAGGCUCAGAGAGGUUACAUAACUUGCUCAGGAUUUAUGGCUGCUUAUACGUGGGACGCCUACCACAGCAUGGCUGUGUGGGACGCCUACCACAGCAUGGCUGCCAAGCAAUGCCAUGUCCGCACCCGGGAUCCGAACCAGCGAACCCCGGGCCGCCGAGAAGCGGAACGUGUGAACUUAACCGCUGCGCCACCGGGCCGGCCUCUCCAACAUCUCUUCUUAAAGAGAAAUGCUCCUUUUCAAAGAGGAAUUUGAAGACGAUGGGUUAGUUCCUGAUCAAUUAAGUGACGUCAGUGCUGCAGUCCUUUUCCUUUUGAUUCUCACAAGGCAAAGACUCCACAGGGUUAAUUAAUGCCAUCUAUCAUGUGACAAAGACUGAGCCCUCUGAGAGCAUUAAUUAAGUACACAGGAGGAACAAACCAGCGGUUUGAGAAGGGAGAAAAGAGAAGGCGCAUCCUUCAGCUGGGGACGGAGGCAGUCGAGAGUCAGGGAAUCUGUGAGGCAGAAGAAAGAUUUUGAACAUCUUCAAAGAGGAGCUGGUGGCGAAGUCUGG
rnacentral:lncRNA from 1 species